GACGAACGCUGGCGGCGUGCUUAACACAUGCAAGUCGAACGGAAAGGCCCUGCUUUUGUGGGGUGCUCGAGUGGCGAACGGGUGAGUAACACGUGAGUAACCUGCCCUUGACUUUGGGAUAACUUCAGGAAACUGGGGCUAAUACCGGAUAGGAGCUCCUGCUGCAUGGGGGGGGUUGGAAAGUUUCGGCGGUUGGGGGUGGACGCGCGGCUUAUCAGCUUGUUGGUGGGGUAGUGGCUUACCAAGGCUUUGACGGGUAGCCGGCCUGAGAGGGUGACCGGCCACAGUGUGACUGAGAGACGGCCCAGACUCCUACGGGAGGCAGCAGUGGGGAAUAUUGCACAAUGGGCGGAAGCCUGAUGCAGCAACGCCGCGUGCGGGAUGACGGCCUUCGGGUUGUAAACCGCUUUCGCCUGUGACGAAGCGUGAGUGACGGUAAUGGGGAAAGAAGCACCGGCUAACUACGU
rnacentral:rRNA from 1 species